rnacentral:rRNA from 1 species
AACGAACGCUGGCGGCGUGUCUUAAGCAUGCAAGUCGAGCGGCAAGGCGGGGCAACCCGCCCUAGAGCGGCGGACUGGUGAGUAACACGUGGGUGAUCUACCCUUGGUUUGGGGAUAGCCCGUGGAAACAUGGGGUAAUACCGAAUACGACGGCAGGACUACGGUUCUGUCGGGAAAGGCGCUAAGGCGCCGACCGGGGAUGAGCCCGCGCCCCAUUAGCUAGUUGGUGAGGUAAUGGCCCACCAAGGCUAUGAUGGGUAGCCGGCCUGAGAGGGUGUACGGCCACACUGGGACUGAGAUACGGCCCAGACUCCUACGGGAGGCAG